CCAGACUCCUACGGGAGGCAGCAGUGGGGAAUAUUGCGCAAUGGGCGAAAGCCUGACGCAGCGACGCCGCGUGAGGGAUGAAGGUCUUCGGAUCGUAAACCUCUGUCAGGAGGGAAGAAGUGGUUAUAUGCGAAUAGUGUAUGACUUUGACGGUACCUCCAAAGGAAGCACCGGCUAACUCCGUGCCAGCAGCCGCGGUAAUACGGAGGGUGCGAGCGUUAAUCGGAAUUACUGGGCGUAAAGCGCACGUAGGCUGUAUGACAAGUCAAGGGUGAAAUGCCACGGCUCAACCGUGGAACUGCCUUUGAAACUGUCAAACUGGAGUAUGUGAGAGGGCGGCGGAAUUCCUGGUGUAGGAGUGAAAUCCGUAGAUAUCAGGAGGAACAUCAGUGGCGAAGGCGGCCGCCUGGCACAAAACUGACGCUGAGGUGCGAAAGCGUGGGUAGCAAACAGGAUUAGAUACCCGAGUA
rnacentral:rRNA from 1 species